rnacentral:rRNA from 1 species
UACAGAGGGGGCAAGCGUUGUUCGGAAUUACUGGGCGUAAAGGGCGCGUAGGCGGCCUGCUAAGUCGAACGUGAAAUCCCCGGGCUCAACCCGGGAACUGCGUCCGAUACUGGCGGGCUUGAAUUCGGGAGAGGGAUGUGGAAUUCCAGGUGUAGCGGUGAAAUGCGUAGAUAUCAGGAGGAACACCAGUGGCGAAGGCGCCACUCUGGGCCGUAACUGACGCUGAGGAGCGAAAGCGUGGGUAGCAAACAGG